GCAGAAGACGAAGAGGUCUGGCGAAAAAAAAAAGAUGAAAAAAAAGUUUUCCACCACCAGGAAAAACGGACGCAGGAGAGCGCGAUACCUGUCUUCGUUGCUGCCCACGCAAAGGCGAAAACUUUAAAAGCGGUGCUUAAAAAAACAAUAAACGAGAAAAAGAAA